CCAUCUCAUCCUCUGUCGUCCCCUUCUCCUGCCCCCAAUCCCUCCCAGCAUCAGAGUCUUUACCAGUGAGUGAACUCUUCGCAUGAGGUGGCCAGAUAUAUUAAGUGAUGUCUAAUAAAUUUCAGCUGUCAGGUAAGGUCUUCUAAAGUGUUUCAUCUAGUCUGGAAAUAGUCCUCCCUUCCCCCCACUUUAUCUUCUCAACUUCAGCACAAAGCAGAUUGUAGGAAUCCUUUUAAAAAACACGAUUAUCACCCAUUCACCUCCAGGCUGUACCUCAUUGUUGAGCAAAGACCUCUGUACACAAAAGGAUUUAAAAAACUGUUGAGGAUCUUUUUUUUUUUUUUUUUUUAAGCUAUUCUUACUGGUAUGCAGACCAGCCAGAUAAAGGUACGAAUUGGGCGGGGACGGUGGAGAGACCAGGUGAUUGUAAUGACAACAAGGUCUAGUGAUUUGCAAAUGAAGAGCUUUCAAUUCUGCAGGAAGAAUGUUUGAUUUAGCAAACUUUUUCCAUUUAGUCCUAGUCUCCCCCAGCCACCCCAGGCUAUCAAAUCUCAUUUCUUAAAUCUUUGGAAUUUUUUAAUCCAAAAAAAAAUAAAUAAAGAAGAAGGAAAAAAAAAAGUGGCUCAGUAAAAAGGAAAGGUAAAGAAUGUUCCUGCAAUGUAGGAGACCCAGGUUCAACCCCUGGUUUGGGAAGAUCCCCUGGAGAAGGAAAUGGGAAUCCACUCCAGUAUUCUUGCCUGGAGACUCCCCAUGGUCAGCAAAGUCUAGCAGGCUACAUUCCAUGGGGUUGUAGUGUCGGACUGGAAUGAGUGACUAAUACCUUCAAAGAGGAAAGAUAUUAACUUGAGACUUAAGAUUCAUUAACAGUUAAUAAAUCAAGUAUACAUCAAUAAAACUUUAAUAGUUAACAAAUCAAUUGUACAUCAAUAAAGCUGGGGGAAAAUUGGAAAAAAAGCAGCUAAUAAACAUAUUAACUUGAGAUUUUAAUGGGCACGUUGGUCGUUGUUUAGUUGCUAAGUCAUGUCUGAUUCUUGCAACCGGGUUUCUCUGUCCAUGGCAUUUCCCAGGCUAGAAUACCAGAGCGGGUUGCCAUUUCCUUCUCCACAGGAUUUACUUAAAAUCAACUUUGAAUGGAAGUCUUUGUUUCACAUUUCUUAAAGUCAAUUGCAUUAAUAGUUUGUCACCCUUAAGAACAGAUGCUUCUUGCAUUUUUACUAAGUGCAGGCCCCAGGGCUGAUUUGGGGGUGGGGGGAUAUAGGUGAGUAAGACAAACCACUGUCCCCUGGGAGCUGAGCUCAAAGGACAACUGUGACAAGUAAUUGAACUGGUGGCUAGUGAUUAGACAAAGAGAAAUGCUAAGCCCUUGAAAUGUGAGAGACACAUAGGGGUCGGCCCUGAACAUGCUCCAUGAGGGUGAAGGGCAGGAAGAAAAAGCUGUCAGUGGCUGAGAAAAUAAGGUGAUGAAAAGGACCUUGCUGGGUUUGAGGACAGAGCAGAGGGUCCAGGUGGAGAGGAGUGGCGAGGUUAGAUCUGGGUGGAAACCAAUGUCUCCAUUUUUACCAAAGCUGCUCUCAAAUAUUCACAUUUUAGGGAAUUCCCUGAUGUUCCAAUGGUUAGGACUCAAUGCUUUCACUGCCACGGGCCCAGGUUUGAUGCCUGGUUGUGAAACUAAGAUCCCACAAGCCUCUCAGGGUGGCCGAAAAAAAAAAAAAAAAAAGCUCAUUGUAAAAAAAAAAAAAUUAUUUAAAGAAAAAACAGAAAAGGAAAUAUUUUAAAAUAAUCAUUCUAACAACAUUGCCAAUCAACUAUUUGCCAAUAAAAAUUUUAAAUAAAAAUAUUAAUUAAAAAUGCUCAUUAUAGCACUAUUAAUAAAUUAUCCUAAAUUUGUAAAAAUUGAAAAUGUCUAACAGGGGCCUAAUGAAAUUAGGCUAAAGAUAUACUCUGUAUUGCCAUUAAGCAUUAAGGCACAUGUAUUUAUUGGUUUUACCAUUUUAUUUAUAUAGUUUCUGAAAUUCAUCCAACAAUCUUUAGCAAAUCCCAUGGACUUGUUAUCUUUGUCCAGAAUUUCUUACAGGGAGAAUACUCAGAUCUCAAUAAUACGCAUAAAUUUAGUAAAACUGCACAUUUUUAAAAGAUACUGAAAAUAUUUUGAGAAAUUGUAAUAUUCAUAGUUGUUAAAAAGAAACAUUUAAAAUACCUUUUAAUAGGGUGCUGGAUUUAAAGAACUCAGAAGUGAUCCCUACACCAAUGCUUUGUAUGAAUACGCAGAGAUUCAGAGAUAAUAUGAACAGAAUUAGAUGUGUUCUUGAUUGUUUUUUUCCAUCACCCUUCCUCUAGGUUUCAGUCUCUCAGCUUCCACACUAUUCACAUUGUAAAGCGCUGUACAGUUUAGAAUGUUUGCCAAGACCCCUGGCAUUAUCUACAAAAGGUUGAAGGUGCUCCAUUGCCUUCCCCAGUUAUGACAACCAAAUGUGUCUCCACUCUUUGCCAGAUGUCCCCUGGGGAGGGAAAAAAAAACACCCUCAGUCGAAAAACAGUAUUCUAGACUAUAAAAUCCGUGGUUUUAUUCACCCCAAACACCCCAGGCACUAACAAGCAUGCCUUGGCGUGUCUUCUGUGUUCAACAAAUAUUACUAAAUAGUAGUUGAAUGAAUAACUGAGUCCCCAGAAGGUACAGUUAUGUUCUUUGGGGGUACUUCUAUGCAUUUUCCUAAUUUGUUUAUAAUUUGUUUGUUUUGAUGGUAUAAACAAUGAAGGAGUGGACGGUUUUAAAAAAAAUAUUGGAGGAUGGGUCUCACUCAGAAUGGGGCAGGGUGGGUCUGGGUGGAGACCUGUGGAGGGGAGUGGUCUUCCCCGCAAAGGCUGGGUCUUUGGCUUAUAUAAGAGGUCGGCAGGUCUGAGACCUCACUUCCUGGCUAGAGAAGCAAUGAAAUCCUGCAUCUUCCAGGAGGCAUGCAGGAUAUUCAACUUGGGAUCGAACCCACAUCUCCUGCAUUGAAAGUACAGAGGCGUAACCACCGAGAAUCCCACCCCGACUCGCCCAGCCCAGUGUAUUCUCUUCUGGUGGUUGACCUUUUGUGUCCCCAAAGUUGGUAUAGUGUUUAGCCAGCGACAUCUAGGGAGGGGAAUUGUCUUGCCUCAUUUCAGCGUAAAUUGAGGCAGCCCUGAACUUUUCACUACUGCGCGACGUGGCAUGAGGGGUCCUAGUUCCCAGCCAGGGAUUGUACCUUCCCCGCCUCCGGGCUUCAAAUGCAGAGGACUUGGUUGGGAAGUCCAAGGCAAGGUCUAGUCGAAUAACCUCAUGCAUUUAACUCUGCUUAACCGAAGCUCUACUAUGGUAAUAGUGGAGGGGCGGGGGGUAAACACGAGCUUCAUAAUCGGACUUCCCUGUUAGCUUUUCCCUCUUGCUCUUGAGGUUUGGUUUAGUGUUAAUCCUUUGAAGCGUUCUGUCUUAUAAUUCCUUCACUUGGUGAUCUUGGCCGGCAACUUCUCAGCCUGUGGUACUCAAACUGUGGGGGCACUUCCGUUUUACGAAGGGAAGUGCCGCCAUGUUUUGAGUGUUACCGGUUGAGAGAGUAGCUUCCACUUGGUGAAAACAUUAACUGGGGGCCUGGUAUGAAAGUUGUCUAUAAAGUUUCCUUAACGUCUCCUUACACCAAUGACUUUUACAGAGAUCACUAAGCUUAGCUUUUUCCUAGGAUAAGGGUCAGAACAGGUUCCAGUAACCCAGACCGGGAUGCUCAAAAUGGGGGUGCUUGCCGAUUUGUGACUGGAAAGUGCUCCCAUUUCGAGCGUCCCUGCUCGGGAAAACCAUCUAAGGAUUGGCAUCUGCCAUAUCUGCUCGCGUUUACCGAUCCUGCUCUGCAUUACUGACUCAAGUCGGAGAUUCUGUCAGCAAUCAAGGACUUCUGUUUAAUCAAUCGUGGGUUUUACUUCCAAUUCCAGGGUUUUUAUUUGCUGUGUUCAAUAUGCUGCUGCUAAAUCGCUUCAGUCGUGUCCUACUCUGCUGCCCCAUAGACGGCAGCCCACCAGCCUCCCCCGUCCCUUGCUCAAUUAAAAGCUCUGAGUAUUAUAAUUUUAUUUCGAUUAUCAUAAAUUGUUAUGACAUAUAUGUAAAUGUUAUAAAUGUUAAUAAAUCAUAAGUAUUAAUAAAUGUCAUAAAUGUUAAUAAAGCAGUACACCUA